GGUGCUGUGGCAAAGUAGGUAAAGCCCCAGCCUGCAGUGCUGGCAUCCCAUCUGGACACAGGUUCAAGUCCCAGCUGCUCCA
rnacentral:tRNA from 1 species